AGAGCGCCUCGCCCCAGGGUCACCGCUGUCCGUCCCCGUGCGCUCCCAGAAGGGGUGGCCCUGCCCCCACGCAGGUCACACACACGAGAGACACAGGCAAGUUGCUAACUUUUGUCAGAUUAUUUCUUGGGAGCUGCGACGCCUCACGGGGUUGGGGCGGAUUCAGAGUUUCGAGUUGCCACUAACACGACUCCGGCCGUGCUCUCCUUGGCCCACCCGCGUCCCCCACUGUCCGCCACGCCGCGUUCAGCUCUCUUGUCCCGGGUGUCAACUUCACCCCCAGAUCCGGAGCAGCGCGCUCUGACGGCGUCCCCGGGGCCGAUAGCCACCUCCCGGAUCUGCGCCUGCUUGCAGCGGAUUGGGGGACUCGAUCCGGAUACUGUCCCACGGCCGCUCGUCCAGAACACUGGCGGCCUCCGCGGUGUCCCAGCCUGUGACCCCAAAUCCGCUCGAGAGCGCCUGAGCCCGGCCACCCAGCGAGGUCUCCUCCCACGGGCGGCCCCAGCGGAGGAGAUCCCAGCCCGGCGCCGGGUGCAAUGUCACUGGGGCUGCUUUCGGGAACCGCUGCCCGGGACUUGGCGUAGGUUCCCCACAGAGCUCCAGGCAGCUCCUCCAGUGUCGGCCGAAGACCCCUAAGCCCGAACCUCCACCCCGACCUUCUUCCUCUCCCAAAGCCCUGGGUGGUCGCCGCUGCCAAGGAAGGGGUCUCCCUUCGAAUGUCUUCCACUAGAAUCCCGGGGUCUUCAGUCCCAGCUCCACUGUCACACCCUCCUAGUCCCCUCCCCACCCCUUCAGUUCCCGGGUCCAGACAAUCAACCUUCCACUCCGAGAAUCCACAGGAAACUGCCCGAGCCCCAACUCAGGCGGACGCAGCCCCCGCGCACCCCGAGCAGGGUUCGCCUCCGCGCGCGCACUCACCACGGCUGGAGACACGCUGGAGUUUCCGGGAUUUGGGCAUGAAGGGGUUCGGAGGAGAAUACAGGGGUGUGGGUGUCCCGGACACUUGCCCCCUUCCCAGC
rnacentral:lncRNA from 1 species